GCCUUCGAGGUGGAGUGCUCAGCACGCUCGACGCGUAACCGAGAGGUCCGGGGUUCGAUUCCCGGCGAAGACU
rnacentral:tRNA from 1 species